UUUACGGAGAGUUUGAUCCUGGCUCAGGAUGAACGCUGGCGGCGUGCCUAAUACAUGCAAGUCGAGCGAACGGACGAGAAGCUUGCUUCUCUGAUGUUAGCGGCGGACGGGUGAGUAACACGUGGAUAACCUACCUAUAAGACUGGGAUAACUUCGGGAAACCGGAGCUAAUACCGGAUAAUAUUUUGAACCGCAUGGUUCAAAAGUGAAAGACGGUCUUGCUGUCACUUAUAGAUGGAUCCGCGCUGCAUUAGCUAGUUGGUAAGGUAACGGCUUACCAAGGCAACGAUGCAUAGCCGACCUGAGAGGGUGAUCGGCCACACUGGAACUGAGACACGGUCCAGACUCCUACGGGAGGCAGCAGUAGGGAAUCUUCCGCAAUGGGCGAAAGCCUGACGGAGCAACGCCGCGUGAGUGAUGAAGGUCUUCGGAUCGUAAAACUCUGUUAUUAGGGAAGAACAUAUGUGUAAGUAACUGUGCACAUCUUGACGGUACCUAAUCAGAAAGCCACGGCUAACUACGUGCCAGCAGCCGCGGUAAUACGUAGGUGGCAAGCGUUAUCCGGAAUUAUUGGGCGUAAAGCGCGCGUAGGCGGUUUUUUAAGUCUGAUGUGAAAGCCCACGGCUCAACCGUGGAGGGUCAUUGGAAACUGGAAAACUUGAGUGCAGAAGAGGAAAGUGGAAUUCCAUGUGUAGCGGUGAAAUGCGCAGAGAUAUGGAGGAACACCAGUGGCGAAGGCGACUUUCUGGUCUGUAACUGACGCUGAUGUGCGAAAGCGUGGGGAUCAAACAGGAUUAGAUACCCUGGUAGUCCACGCCGUAAACGAUGAGUGCUAAGUGUUAGGGGGUUUCCGCCCCUUAGUGCUGCAGCUAACGCAUUAAGCACUCCGCCUGGGGAGUACGACCGCAAGGUUGAAACUCAAAGGAAUUGACGGGGACCCGCACAAGCGGUGGAGCAUGUGGUUUAAUUCGAAGCAACGCGAAGAACCUUACCAAAUCUUGACAUCCUUUGACAACUCUAGAGAUAGAGCUCUCCCCUUCGGGGGACAAAGUGACAGGUGGUGCAUGGUUGUCGUCAGCUCGUGUCGUGAGAUGUUGGGUUAAGUCCCGCAACGAGCGCAACCCUUAAGCUUAGUUGCCAUCAUUAAGUUGGGCACUCUAAGUUGACUGCCGGUGACAAACCGGAGGAAGGUGGGGAUGACGUCAAAUCAUCAUGCCCCUUAUGAUUUGGGCUACACACGUGCUACAAUGGACAAUACAAAGGGCAGCGAAACCGCGAGGUCAAGCAAAUCCCAUAAAGUUGUUCUCAGUUCGGAUUGUAGUCUGCAACUCGACUACAUGAAGCUGGAAUCGCUAGUAAUCGUAGAUCAGCAUGCUACGGUGAAUACGUUCCCGGGUCUUGUACACACCGCCCGUCACACCACGAGAGUUUGUAACACCCGAAGCCGGUGGAGUAACCUUUUAGGAGCUAGCCGUCGAAGGUGGGACAAAUGAUUGGGGUGAAGUCGUAACAAGGUAGCCGUAUCGGAAGGUGCGGCUGGAUCACCUCCUUU
rnacentral:rRNA from 1 species